AUGGACGAUGGAGCUUCUUAUGUCUGCAAAGUUAUUCAUGAAACUUUAAAGACACCUGUGCAGAAAGUUGUUAGUUUGACAAUCAAGGGAUACAACCCAAGAACAAGAUCAGGAAUAUUGCUCACUUUUCUUCUAACAUGUGUGAUCACCACAGCUGUUUGUUCUGGAGCAUUCAUUUUUUGCAGCUUUAAAAGACAAGCUCCAAAAGUGACAGACAUCAUUAAACCAAGCUGUUUCCGUGUAAAUGAUUCAGUCUCUCUGGCUUGUGCAGUUCUCUGGUUCAAACCAAAAGCUAUCGAAGUCUCUUGGUACAGAGAGGAAGAGGAUAAAUUCCAGAAAGUUCUCAUCUGUAAAUGGAACAGCACCUCAUCUUCUGUAAAACAAUCGGAAUACAGAAAAAUAGUAGAUUAUUAUCAGA